rfam:Desulfacinum infernum DSM 9756 genome assembly, contig: EJ47DRAFT_scaffold00018.18
UAGGGCGACGGCAAGAUCUCCGAUUGCCAGAUGGGCCAUGAGAAGACUCUCACCGGACUUUUGGUCGCAUUGGCAGGUGCCAAUAUGAUCUACGGUCUGG